rnacentral:rRNA from 1 species
AGCUUAUCCUCCGAAGUAUCAGAUAGGAAGUAGAUAGAGUAGGAGUUAACGGCGGGAAGGAAGUAAAAAUGCAGUGAGGGAAGGCCCUUCGGGGUACUUUUCGCCGCGAACGGGCGAAUAACACGUGAGCGACCUACCCAUCACAUCGGGAUAACUCCGGGAAACCGGAGCUAAUACCGAAUACGACCACCUCAGGCAUCUGAUGGUGGUGGAAAGCUCCGGCGGUGAUGGAUGGGCUCGCGGCCUAUCAGCUUGUUGGUGGGGUAAUGGCCUACCUAGGCUUCGACGGGUAGCCGGCCUGAGAGGGUGACCGGCCACACUGGGACUGAGACACGGCCCAGACUCCUACGGGAGGCAGCAGUGGGGAAUAUUGGACAAUGGGCGAAAGCCUGAUCCAACAACGCCGCGUGAGGGAUGACGGCCUUCGGGUUGUAAACCUCUUUCUCAGGGACGAAACGCAAGUGACGGUACCUGCACAAGAAGCACCGGCCAACUACGUGCCACAGCCGCGGUAAUACGUAGGGUGCGAGCGUUGUCCGGAAUUAUUGGGCGUAAAGGGAUCGUAAGUGGUCUGUCGCGUCCGGGGUGAAACUCUUGGUUUUAUCCCUGAGCCUGCUUCCGAUACGGGCAAACUAAAGGUAUGCAGGGAAAAUGGAAUUCCUGGUGUAAAGGGGAUUGCACUAAUUCGGAGGAAACCGGGGAAGGGGUCUCUGGCCUUACCGACCUAACGAAGGGACCCGG